AUUGAACGCUGGCGGCAGGCCUAACACAUGCAAGUCGAACGGCAGCACAGAAGAGCUUGCUCUUUGGGUGGCGAGUGGCGGACGGGUGAGUAAUGUCUGGGAAACUGCCCAAUGGAGGGGGAUAACUACUGGAAACGGUAGCUAAUACCGCAUAACGUCGCGAGACCAAAGUGGGGGACCUUCGGGCCUCACACCAUCGGAUGUGCCCAGAUGGGAUUAGCUAGUAGGUGGGGUAAUGGCUCACCUAGGCGACGAUCCCUAGCUGGUCUGGGAGGAUGACCAGCCAGACUGGAACUGAGCCAAGGUCCAGACGCCUACGGGAGGCAGAGGUGGGGAAGAUUGCACAAUGGGCGGAAGCCUGAUGCAGCCAUGCCGCGUGUAUGAAGAAGGCCUUCGGGUUGUAAAGUACUUUCAGCGGGGAGGAAGGCGGUGAGGUUAAUAACCUUGCCGAUUGACGUUACCCGCAGAAGAAGCACCGGCUAACUCCGUGCCAGCCGCCGCCGUAA
rnacentral:rRNA from 1 species